rnacentral:lncRNA from 13 species
AUGGAACGUGUGGUGGAGAUGGCAAAUAACGGUGGUUUCUCCCUCGCCGGUCCUUCCACCACUCCCCGCAAGCGACAGGUGCGAUUCUCCGCCCGCCACGACAUCCUGCUGCUCCGUGAGGUCAUUGCUCAGAACCCGUUCUGUUCCAAGGAGUCGGGUCGUAUCUGGGCCCGUGUCGGGGAGAUCAUCACUGCUGCCCUGCAGGACGAGAGCUUUGAGGUGGACGCCCGGCGUUGCAGGGAGAGGACCAUGCUGUUGCUGGACUACUACAAGAAGCAGGACUUCCCCAGCCUACGCAGGUUUGGGACAGAGAGGCUGUAUGCCCAGAAAGAAGACCUACUCCAUGAGGUGUUGGAGCUGGAGGCAGAGAAGGGUCUUCUGGCCAGUGGGGAGAGUAAGUACCAGGAUGAGGAACUCAGGAAACGAGCCCUGGAAGAGCUGGCUAGUCUACCAGAGCAGGACAAACCCAUCAUUAUCUCCACACAAACAGGACAACCCAAAGUCCCCAUGACCCCAGAGCCCGAGGAGGAGCAGGAGGACCUGGCGGAGCUCUCGCUAGUCUCGGCGGCGCCCAUGGCCAAGCAGCCUUGCCAAUGCUGCUGCCAGACCUACUCAGAGAUCCUCAGCUUCCUGGAGAAGCGCUCGGAGGCGGAACAACGACUGCGGGAGGAGGAGCUAUCGCUGAGGAGGGAGGAGCUAGAGAUCCAGAGGAGUAAGAUCAUGCUGGAGAGAGAGAGGCUGGGGGCGGAGAGGAAGGAGAGGGAGAGGAGGUUCGAGCUGGAGAGCCAGGAAAGACAGGUCAUAUUGGACCUGCUAAAGGAGAAGGUGCUCAAAGGAUGA